GGAGCGUCACCUAGUGGUCCUUCUAGGACAUAUUGUUUCCUGGCAGCUAUGAGGAUGAUCCUCAGGUUCCGGACCCAGUCCGUAUAGUUGCUGCCAUCAUCUUUCAGCUUGGUUUUCUCUAGGAACGCGUUGAAGUUCAUGUUGACAUUAGCGUUGGCCAUUGAUCUACAAGACAUAUUUGCAAAGGUUUUAGACUAUGUUCAUGAUAAUAAAGUUCUUAAUCAAAUUAUGAACUCCCACUUAGAUUAUACAUCCCUUUAGUCAUCUAAGUGUUACACGAUCCGAGUCGAGUAGCCCGUGUCCGAUCAUCACGUGAGACGGACUAGUCAUCGUCGGUGAACAUUUUCAUGUUGAUCGUAUCUUCCAUACGACUCGUGUUCGACCUUUCGGUCUCCGUGUUCCGAGGCCAUGUCUGCACAUGCUAGGCUCGUCAAGUUAACCCUAAGUGUUUUCGCUGUGUAAAACUGUCUUACACCCGUUGUAUGUGAACGUAAGAAUCCAUCACACCCGAUCAUCACGUGGUGCUUAGAAACGACGAACUGUAGCAACGGUGCACAGUUAGGGGAGAACACUUCUUGAAAUUUUAUAAGGGAUCAUCUUAUUUACUACCGUCGUCCUAAGUAAACAAGAUGCAUAAUACAUAAUAAACAUCACAUGCAAUUAUAUAGUUGUGACAUGAUAUGGCCAAUAUCAUAUAGCUCCAUUGAUCUUCAUCUUCGGGGCUCCAUGAUCAUCUUGUCACCGGCUUGACACCAUGAUCUCCAUCAUCAUGUCUUCAUGAAGUUGUCACGCCAUCGACUACUUCUACUUCUAUGACUAACGUUUAGCAAUAAAGUAAAGUAGUUUACAUGACGUUAUUCAAUGACACGCAGGUCAUACAAAAAAUAAUGACAACUCCUAUGGCUCCUGUCGGUUGUCAUACUCAUCGACAUGCAAGUCGUGAAUCCUAUUACAAAGAAUAUGAUCUCAUACAUCACAAUUCAUCAUUCAUCACAACUUCUGGCCAUAUCACAUCACAUGAUCAAUCGCUGCAAAAACAAGUUAGACGUCCUCUAAUUGUUGUUGCAUCUUUUACGUGGCUGCAAUUGGGUUCUAGCAAGAACGUUUUCUUACCUACGAAUCACCACAACGUGAUUUUGUCAACUUCUAUUUACCCUUCAUAAGGGCCCUGUUCAUCGAUUCCGCUCCAACUAAGAUGGGAGAGACAGACACCCGCCAGCCACCUUAUGCAACUUGUGCAUGUCAGUCGGUGGAACCGGUCUCACGUAAGAGUACGUGUAAGGUUGGUCCGGGCCGCUUCAUCCCACAAUACCGUUGAGCAAGAAAAAGACUAGUAGAGGCAAGUAAGAUGACAAAAUCCACGCCCACAACAAAGUUGUGUUCUACUCGUGCAAAGAGAACUACGUAUAGACCUAGCUCAUGAUGCCACUGUUGGGGAACGUUGCAGAAAAUUAAAAUUUUUCCUACGGUUUCACCAAGAUCCAUCUAUGAGUUCAUCUAAGCAACGAGUCUAGAGAGAGAGAGUUUGCAUCUACAUACCACUUGUAGAUCGCGUGCGGAAGCUUGCAAGGUGAUGAUGUAGUCGUACUCGACGUGAUUCAAAUCACCGAUGACCUUAGCACCAAACGGACGGCACCUCCGCGUUCAACACACGUACGGAACAGCCACGUCUCCUCCUUCUUGAUCCAGCAAGGGAGGGAGGAGAGGUUGAGGGAUAUGGCACCAGCAGCAGCACGACGGCGUGGUGUUGAUGGAGCUGCAGUACUCCGGCAGAGCUUCGCUAAGCACUAUGGAGUUGGAGGAGGUGUUGGGGAGGGAGAAGGAGGCAACCAAAGGCCAGGGCUCAAGGUAUGAAGUCCCUCCUCUCCCCCCACUAUAUAUAGGGGUGCCAAGGGGGGGUGGCCGGCCCUAGUAGAUGAGAUCUACUAGGGGGGGGCGGCGGCCUAGGGAGGUUUCCCUCCCCCCAAGGCACCUAGGGGUGCCUUCCACCACUAGGACUCCUCCUAGGGGAAACCCUAGGCGCAUGGGCCUAUAGGGGCUGGUGCCCUUGGCCCAUGAUGGCCAAGGCGCACCCCCUACAGCCCAUGUGGCCCCCCGGGACAGGUGGCCCCACCCGGUGGACCCCCGGGACCCCUCCGGUGGUCCCGGUACAAUACCGAUAACCCCGAAACUUGUCCCGGUGCCCGAAAUAGCACUUCCUAUAUAUAAAUCUUUACCUCCGGACCAUUCCGGAACUCCUCGUGACGUCCGGGAUCUCAUCCGGGACUCCGAACAACAUUCGGGUUACUGCAUAUACAUAUCCCUACAACCCUAGCGUGACUGAACCUUAAGUGUGUAGACCCUACGGGUUCGGGAGACAUGUAGACAUGACCGAGACUCUCUUAGUCAAUAACCAUCAGCGGGAUCUGGAUACCCAUGAUGGCUCCCACAUGCUCCUCGAUGUUGUCAUCGGAUGAACCACUAUGUCGAGGAUUCGAUCAAAAACCCUGUAUGCAAUUCCCUUUGUCAAUCGGUACGUUACUUGCCCGAGACUCGAUCGUCGGUAUCCCAAUACCUUGUUCAGUCUCGUUACCGGCAAGUCACUUUACUCGUACCGUAAUGCAUGAUCCCAUGUCCAACACCUUGGUCACAUUGAGCUCAUUAUGAUGAUGCAUUACCGAGUGGGCCCAGAGAUACCUCUCCGUCAUACGGAGUGACAAAUCCCAGUCUCGAUCCGUGUCAACCCAACAGCUACUUUCGGAGAUACCUGUAAUGUACCUUUAUAGUCACCCAGUUACGUUGUGACGUUUGGUACACCCAAGGCAUUCUUACGGUAUCCGGGAGUUACACGAUCUCAUGGUCGAAGGAAGAGAUACUUGACACUUGCAAAGCUCUAGCAAAAAUGAACUACUCGAUCUUUUAUGCUAUGCUUAGGAUUGGGUCUUGUCCAUCACAUCAUUCUCCUAAUGAUGUGAUCCCGUCAUCAACGACAUCCAAUGUCCAUAGUCAGGAAACCAUGACUAUCUGUUGAUCACAACGAGCUGGUCAACUAGAGGCUUACCAGGGACUUAGUGUGGUCUAAGUAUUCACACGUGUAUUACGAUUUCCGGAUAAUACAGUUAUAGCAUGAAUACAAGACAAUUAUCAUGAACAAUGAAAUAUAAUAAUACUUUUAUUAUUGCCUCUAGGGCAUAUUUCCAACAUAAAGAGCAUGUGAUAUAUGAAUCACCAUUUUACAAUAGCUAUGAAGGAAACCAACAAUGGUCGGCAUCGAGUAGUCACCCAGGUGCUUGCUGGAAAGCAUCAUUGAUGGUAGCUACACUAAGUUCUAUCUUUAGAACUACCUUGUUUGAGGCAUUACUCUUUUCUAAUGGCCUUGGCACCAAACAACAACCAACAAAGAGGUGACAUGUAAACAAUAGGAAGAAAAUGAACGCAAUAGUAAGAAGUUUUGGCAAGAUAGAAGUCUCGAUAUAUGUUAUUUGGACAGAUAGACAUAUGUAAUAGUUUUUGAUUUUCUCUUUUGGCUCUCUUAAAGAGCUUGUGCAUUCAUAUACCGCUAAGCCUAAUUGAAUUAAUAUGCGAAGCAAGCACAAAACGAUCCUAUUUUAACAUUGUUUUAACCAUCAAAUCGGAACAUGAACGAUUGUUUUAAUCAUCCCUAUUUUAUAUUCUUCUACUGUUCAAAUGCAGACCAUCUUGCUUCAUCGAGAAAAAUUUGAACAAGCAACAAAGUUUUGCUUCAUGAUUUACCUGAAACAGAAGGCAUCUGACGCUUAAGGAAGGAUCUACUUCAGGUAGCCAAGGCUCAUGUUCUCCAUCUCUCCCCAAAUUACAGCACAAUCCUUUAACAAGCAACAGAAGGCAUGAGAAGAACAAUCCUUGAUUUUUUUUAACUAAAUCCUUGGAAAGUUGAAAUCGGAAGUAAAGAACAUAAGAAUAGAGAAAAACAGAAAAAAGAGAACAUUCAAGAAUCAGUAGUAAAAUAAAAUAGGUCAUUGAGAUUUGAGAACACCUCAACUUUACACCAUUGAGAAGAGUACAGAGAUCUUCUUGUCUAGGAAGCCCGUCCUCCUGCACCAUCACAUGCUUGCCAGAUAAAACAAAUUAAUCCAGCCAGUUUUUCUUGAACGAGAAAAUGUAUGCCACUUAAACUUGUGCAGAGGUAAAUCGCUGCCCACCAAAAUUGAAACAAAUUAAGUAAGGGGCCUGAAGUGCCCAGACGCUAAGGAGAACAUCAGCCAACACCAAACUUCUGGCUUCAUGGUAAAGGACUCCCAGUUCAAUAGCAUCACAAUCCCUUCCCUUAAGUGCAUGGAUCAUAGUCUGACAGUCUGACUCAAAAAACAUACUAUACAACAAAGCAACAGCAGGAGGCCAUCAGCGACAAGCUGGCAAGCACUCAGCAUCAAGCACCCACACACACGCAGCAAGCAGGGUGUGAUGACCGGGGAGGGCAGUUACCUUGCCGGGGAUGGGAUUCUUGGCGGCGGAGGAGAAGGUGGCUCGCGGUGGCGAUGGAGGUGACCGACGCGGAUCACAAGAGUAGAGGGCUCCGCGCCGCCUCGGGCGCGGCCUCGUUCACCGGCGGCCUCCCUGCGUGCACCCACGUCGUGCCUAGGGAGGAGACAUGUGCGGACGGAGAGGCGAGGAGGAGCGGGCGCCACCGCGCCGCGGGAUCGCGUGCGACCUCAUCGCCAGUGGCCGCCCAACGCAC
rnacentral:lncRNA from 1 species